CAGUCGCCACGGUAAUACGUAGGGUGCAAGCGUUAAUCGGAAUUACUGGGCGUAAAGCGUGCGCAGGCGGUUAUAUAAGACAGAUGUGAAAUCCCCGGGCUCAACCUGGGAACUGCAUUUGUGACUGUAUAGCUAGAGUACGGCAGAGGGGGAUGGAAUUCCGCGUGUAGCAGUGAAAUGCGUAGAUAUGCGGAGGAACACCGAUGGCGAAGGCAAUCCCCUGGGCCUGUACUGACGCUCAUGCACGAAAGCGUGGGGAGCAAACAGGAUUAGAUACCCCCGUAGUCCCUGUCUCUUAGAC
rnacentral:rRNA from 1 species